ensembl:lncRNA
AUCAUUUGGCAAAACAUCAUGAGUAAGGAUGAUGCUCUUUUUCCUGAAACGACUCUCCAAGACAGGAAAAGGAUUAUGUAGAUGAUGGAGAAGUAAGAGAGCCAGAAGAAGAGUAGGACAUUGGUAGGACUCAAAGAGACGGGGGUCCUGGAUACAUUUUCCUGAGCUAGUCCAGAGAGGAAGCAAAACCCCAGAAAUGAGUAAGCAACCCACCGAAAUGCCCGGAAGCACUAAAUGAAAUUCCAGAGAGUGAUUGAAAGUGUUGAUCCAGAAGGCGGUCAGACAGUGUUGGGGAACUCUGCUGUCGGUUUAAUUACACUAAAGCCCCCACUGAAUGGAGAAAGUUAACUACAUGAUGACAGUGAGCACAUAUCCCUCAGACUGGCUGGAGCAUGAGGGUAACUUUAACCCCUGUGAUACUGCCAUUCGACCUUACCAUCAACAGAUCAGAGAACUGUGCCUGAGUUGACCAUGAACCCUGAAACUCCACUCCCGCAUCUUGCCUUAAAAAUUCUUCCCUGAGUAUCCAAAGCUGGCACUCUGUGACAAACUAGAGGGAUGGAGUGGGGAGUAAGAUGGCAGGGGGUUUCAAGAUGGAGGGGACACAUGUAUACCUAUGGCCAAUCCAUAUUGAUGUAUAGCAAAAAACUAUCACAAUAUUGUAAAGUAAUUAUCCUCCAAUUAAAAUAAGUAAAUAAAAUUUUUAAAAUGCUUCCCUGAAACCUACUGGGGGCCUUUUGAGCAUAAACUGUCCCAUUCUCUUGCUUGACCCUCUCAAUAAAUC